rnacentral:lncRNA from 1 species
CUUUAUUCAGUUUUUAAAACUUGCAGUGGUUUCAUUUAACAUUUUACUAAGCUAUCUAGAAGAGUGGAAUACUAGAAAAUUUUCAUACCUGAUGUACCUAAGUUUUUCAGAUAAUGAAAUAUUACUGAAGAAAAAUCAAAAGGCUCUGUAUAAUAAAUUGUAAACAGGAAAUUUAUAAAGGGGCUCUGUACUGUUUCAUACUUUUAAGCAAAUGAGAUGAAUGAAAUCAUACAUCUCAAAUCUAAGAGAAAUAUAUAUUAGGCAUGAUAGCUAACUAAGAUAACAUGAUAGACUGAUUGCAAAAACAACCACAUUUCUUUAUCCCUCCCUAUAUCUAUCCCCUCUGCAGUAUGAUUUGAUGUCUCUCCCCUAAAAGGUGGUCUAUUUCCCACCUUUUAAAUCUGAGUUGGCCCUGUGACUUCCCUCUGGCCAAGUGAAUAAGGCGGAAAAGUGCAUGGUAAGCCAGUUCUGAGUUUAGAAUAAAGGUUUUGCAAGUGUCUACUCUUUCUCAAGGAACUCUGCCACCACCAACUAAAUAAUCUUUGGCUGGCCUGCUGGGGGAUGAGAAACCAUGUAGAGAACAACCAAGCUGUUUCAUCUUGGGCCAUUCUAGACCAGCUGGAAAAUAUAACCUUGAACAUGUGAGAGUCUAGCCAAGAUAAGCAUAGCUCUCUUUAACUUCACAACUGAUUGCCUAUUCUUGAGUUAGCCCAGCAAGACAAGAACUGCCCUGUUGAACUGUAGACACAUGUCACUGAGUUAUGGGGAAGUUUGUAACACUGUACAUUCAUAUGUAAGUAGAUAUACAGUUGACCUUUGAACAAUAUGGGCUUGAAUUGUGUGGGUCCACUUAUACACAGAUUUUUUUCCCACCUAUGCUACCCCAGCACAUCAAAACCAACCCUUCCUCUUCCUACUCCUCAGCCUACUCAGCGUGAAGACAAGGAUGAAGACUUUUAUGAUGAUCCAUUGCCACUUAAUGAAUAGUAAAUAUAUUUUCUCUUCCUUAUGAUUUUCUUAAUUUUUUUUCUCUAGCUUACUUUAUGGUAAGAAUAUAGUGUAUAACACAUAUAACACAAAAUAUCAGUGUUACGGCUGUUUUAGAAUUUGUCUAGCAGGUUUUCUGGUUUUUACGAGACUCCCCCAUACUCCUACACCAUGCAAAAGUUAAAAAAAGAAAACACAAAAAACAUACAAAACGUGUUAAUUGAUUACUUAUCAGUGAGGCUUCUAGACAGUAGGCUAUUAGUAAUUAAGAAAGUCAAAAGUUGUACAUGAAUUUUUGACUACAUGAAGGUUGAGGAAUGGUGGUUGGCAUCCCCUAACCCCUGUGUUAAGGAACAACUGUAUUUUGAUGCUACAAAAAUAGAUUAUGAGAGAGUAAGAGAAAUAAAACACAGCAAUGAAUAUAGUUAGAUAACAAAAACUGGAAUAAUAGAAAAGUUUUAUUGAUCAACAAGUGAGCUAAAACUAAAAUUUAAUAGGAAUAAAUGAUGUCCCAAAUUCAGAGUUAAAAAUAUUUAACUACUCAAGAUGGGACAAGGUGAGCAAUAAUUCAUUAUUUCAUGACAAACUUAC